rnacentral:lncRNA from 1 species
CUUUCCAACAUCCAUGCAACCUCCUCCGGAUUCCUUUCACGGACAUCUCCCAGCAAAUCAGCUCAUCUUCCCUUCUCCGAACAUCCAAGCUCAUGAAUUCAUUUCCUCUUCCCGUUCGGAAUUGGUUCCAUCUCCACGGGAUAAGAUCAAAUCCCUGCUCUCUGAUCCAUCCACUUUCAUCCCAUUGUAAUCUAUCAUCCCCUGCUUCAGCAGCCACGAUAGAUUCAAAUCUUCAUCCGCAUGAAGUCAGCUUUCCAUCUGUUAGAAGUAUGCCCUAGAAGCCAAUUUGGCUGACGCAUUAUUUUAUUCUGGGACAUAAAUUUGUACAUGAC